UACGUAGGUGGCGAGCGUUGUCCGGAUUUACUGGGCGUAAAGAGCGCGCAGGCGGUCGAUUUAGUCGUGUGUGAAAGCCCCCGGCUCAACUGGGGAGGGUCACGCGAUACUGAUCGACUCGAAGGCAGGAGAGGGUAGUGGAAUUCCCGGUGUAGUGGUGAAAUGCGUAGAUAUCGGGAGGAACACCAGUGGCGAAGGCGACUACCUGGCCUGUUCUUGACGCUGAGGCGCGAAAGCGUGGGGAGCGAACAGG
rnacentral:rRNA from 1 species